rnacentral:lncRNA from 1 species
CGGGCGCGGUGGCGCGUGCCUGUAGUCCCAGCUACUCGGGAGGCUGAGGUGGGAGGAUCGCUUGAGCCCAGGAGUUCUGGGCUGUAGUGCGCUAUGCCGAUCGGGUGUCCGCACUAAGUUCGGCAUCAAUAUGGUGACCUCCCGGGAGCGGGGGACCACCAGGUUGCCUAAGGAGGGGUGAACCGGCCCAGGUCGGAAACGGAGCAGGUCAAAACUCCCGUGCUGAUCAGUAGUGGGAUCGCGCCUGUGAAUAGCCACUGCACUCCAGCCUGAGCAACAUAGCGAGACCCCGUCUCUUUUGCCCCCCUCCCUCAUUAAGGGUACCUUUCGCGAAAGCUCACCAGUUGACGGGAUGCUUGGGGAUUUGCAACCGCCUCAUCGCUGCCCCCUACCGGCGCAUAUUCAAAACGUCUCUGCGAAAAGCUGUUAUUACCUUCGGAGCCAACAGGGGCUGCUCGUUUACCCACAGACAGUCGGAAAAAAAUGGCCGCCGGAUCACAGAGAGCAAAAAGUACGUUCUCUUAAAGAAUUUCCAAGUUCUUCCCGCGGCCGUUCAGGAUGCUGCUUGCAGUUACCAACAUUAUUCCCCUGCACUGAGCUGACCUGAGCUUCCCUGCCUACCUCCUGUCACGGAUGUCACCUUCUUUCACCCCUGUCCUGUCAAGGUUUUUGCUUUAGAAUGCUAUAGACCAAAGACGGGCUAAUCAACAGUCUUACACACAAAUCCUUUCGUUCUACUUGGCUACAGGCAGGGCUAAUCUUCCGAAGAGGAAUCCCACUACUGCCUCCUUAUAAGGGAAAAACUCCUCUCAGAGGAACCCAGAACGCCCUGUGAUGACAGAGGUGAGGGGCCAGCGUGGCAGAAUGCACCACCCUGUCUCCUCGCUUGCUUCUCUCUCCGUCGGAUUGCCAAAAAGGGAACGGCACCUAGACGCCGAAAAGUAACUGAAGCAAAGGGAGUUUAAAGAACGCGCCCAGCCGCCUGGGUCUUGAACCCAGUGUUAAUGAGAGCAAAAACCUCUGCAUCCUCCACUGAGCUGUCCUUGAGCAUGUCUCAUAAUCAUGCUUCAUUUUAAAAACAGAAAUAAAGUAUGUACUUCACUGAUUUAAAAAUAACAUCCUAGGCCGGGCACAGUGGCUCACGCCUGUAAUCCUAGCACUUUGGGAAGCUGAGGCAGGCGGAUCACGAGGUCAGGAGUUUGAGACCAGCCUGACCAACAUGGCGAAACCCUGUCUCUACUAAAAAUACAAAAAUUAGCUGGGUGUGGUGGUGUACGCCUGUAAUCCCAGCUACUCAGGAGGCUGAGACAGGAG